rnacentral:lncRNA from 1 species
GAUCACUGCCUAUUCUGCUUGUGCCUACGGCUGCUUGGCCUGGGAGCUGCACUUUCAGUCAAACUGACCAUGAGAAGCAAGUCCUCCAUCAAGCAGAUUAACCCCACUGGGCCUUAACUGCUUGACAUACUGGCAUUUUAAUGUAGUUCUGAAAGGCUGGGGUAUAAGAAAUGCUAGAGAUUGAAAGCACUUUGCCAGUAUGAAUCUCAUGGAAAUGCCAAACUGAGAUAAUGAAUCAACAAGCAGGGAAAACAAGCAUGGUGGUUUCCAUAGAUGGGUAAGGAUGUGGGCUUUGCAGAGCCUGUGUCCUGGCAGGUCCACUUGAGAUUGCUGGCUGCAUUUACCUCUCAAUGAAAGUGAGAGCAGCAGAUGGGUGGCGGAGCUGAUAGAAAAAACAAGGAGACUCAGAGUCGGCAGAGAGUUCUAAAUGCCAUACAUUUAUGCUGCUCAAGUGUUCUCUAGAGACCUCAGAAACAAACAACCCCUUCCACAUUCCCAUUCAGUUGAGCACAGUCCUCCCAGGGCCCCAGAUUCCCAGCCUAGCACAUCACUCUUAGAAGAAAGAAAGGGGGCUGGGGAGAAAGGCAGGGAGAAAAAAAGGAAAGAUAAAAAAAGCCAGCAGAACUCAGGUUGGAGGAGUGGGCCAUCUGAAACUGCCUGUUGUUCCCAGGCAACUUAAAGACAGCCUGACCCUAGGCUGGACUUUCUAGGUGUGCAGAUCCAGAGAAAAGAGCAAACUCUUCCCUGUGUGCGUGUGCAGUCACCUGGACAAACAGAAACCCAUUUGUGAGAUGGAAUUUCCAUGGCAGGCAAGGGCUCUGAUGGGAAUGUGCAGGGCAGGAACAUCUGUCCUGGUAUUAAAUGCAUCAUUCCCGUCUUCCCCGCACUGGGGCCAUCUGCAUGCAGAAGCAGACACUUCUUGCUCCCUUUCCAAACAUACCACUGGAUCAAUUUAGAGCCUUGGUCUAAAAGCGGGGAAGGUGAUUUUGUCCCCUAAGGGAUGUUUGUCAUGCCUGGAGAUAUUUUUGGUUGUCACAACGGAGAGGAGUGUGCUACUGGUAUCUAGUUGGUAGAGGCCAGAGAUGCUGCUAAACAUCCUACAAUAUACGGGACAGCCCACAUGGUAAAUAAUUACCCAGCCCAAAAAAAUGUCAAUGGUGCCAAGGCCGUGGCACUCUGCUAGAGGCCAGCUUGUUACCACCCUUUUACUGCUGCACCCACAGCACUCUAACAACACACUAUACAUUCUCUCACCAAAUUACUCCUAAGUAUCCUCGCUGGGAAGUGUUG